UAAGCGACUAAGCGUACACGGUGGAUGCCCUGGCAGUCAGAGGCGAUGAAGGACGUGCUAAUCUGCGAUAAGCGUCGGUAAGGUGAUAUGAACCGUUAUAACCGGCGAUUUCCGAAUGGGGAAACCCAGUGUGUUUCGACACACUAUCAUUAACUGAAUCCAUAGGUUAAUGAGGCGAACCGGGGGAACUGAAACAUCUAAGUACCCCGAGGAAAAGAAAUCAACCGAGAUUCCCCCAGUAGCGGCGAGCGAACGGGGAGGAGCCCAGAGCCUGAAUCAGUGUGUGUGUUAGUGGAAGCGUCUGGAAAGGCGCGCGAUACAGGGUGACAGCCCCGUACACAAAAAUGCACAUGCUGUGAGCUCGAUGAGUAGGGCGGGACACGUGGUAUCCUGUCUGAAUAUGGGGGGACCAUCCUCCAAGGCUAAAUACUCCUGACUGACCGAUAGUGAACCAGUACCGUGAGGGAAAGGCGAAAAGAACCCCGGCGAGGGGAGUGAAAAAGAACCUGAAACCGUGUACGUACAAGCAGUGGGAGCCUCUUUAUGGGGUGACUGCGUACCUUUUGUAUAAUGGGUCAGCGACUUAUAUUCUGUAGCAAGGUUAACCGAAUAGGGGAGCCGAAGGGAAACCGAGUCUUAACUGGGCGUUAAGUUGCAGGGUAUAGACCCGAAACCCGGUGAUCUAGCCAUGGGCAGGUUGAAGGUUGGGUAACACUAACUGGAGGACCGAACCGACUAAUGUUGAAAAAUUAGCGGAUGACUUGUGGCUGGGGGUGAAAGGCCAAUCAAACCGGGAGAUAGCUGGUUCUCCCCGAAAGCUAUUUAGGUAGCGCCUCGUGAACUCAUCUCCGGGGGUAGAGCACUGUUUCGGCAAGGGGGUCAUCCCGACUUACCAACCCGAUGCAAACUGCGAAUACCGGAGAAUGUUAUCACGGGAGACACACGGCGGGUGCUAACGUCCGUCGUGAAGAGGGAAACAACCCAGACCGCCAGCUAAGGUCCCAAAGUCAUGGUUAAGUGGGAAACGAUGUGGGAAGGCCCAGACAGCCAGGAUGUUGGCUUAGAAGCAGCCAUCAUUUAAAGAAAGCGUAAUAGCUCACUGGUCGAGUCGGCCUGCGCGGAAGAUGUAACGGGGCUAAACCAUGCACCGAAGCUGCGGCAGCGACGCUUAUGCGUUGUUGGGUAGGGGAGCGUUCUGUAAGCCUGUGAAGGUGUACUGUGAGGUAUGCUGGAGGUAUCAGAAGUGCGAAUGCUGACAUAAGUAACGAUAAAGCGGGUGAAAAGCCCGCUCGCCGGAAGACCAAGGGUUCCUGUCCAACGUUAAUCGGGGCAGGGUGAGUCGACCCCUAAGGCGAGGCCGAAAGGCGUAGUCGAUGGGAAACAGGUUAAUAUUCCUGUACUUGGUGUUACUGCGAAGGGGGGACGGAGAAGGCUAUGUUGGCCGGGCGACGGUUGUCCCGGUUUAAGCGUGUAGGCUGGUUUUCCAGGCAAAUCCGGAAAAUCAAGGCUGAGGCGUGAUGACGAGGCACUACGGUGCUGAAGCAACAAAUGCCCUGCUUCCAGGAAAAGCCUCUAAGCAUCAGGUAACAUCAAAUCGUACCCCAAACCGACACAGGUGGUCAGGUAGAGAAUACCAAGGCGCUUGAGAGAACUCGGGUGAAGGAACUAGGCAAAAUGGUGCCGUAACUUCGGGAGAAGGCACGCUGAUAUGUAGGUGAAGCGACUUGCUCGUGGAGCUGAAAUCAGUCGAAGAUACCAGCUGGCUGCAACUGUUUAUUAAAAACACAGCACUGUGCAAACACGAAAGUGGACGUAUACGGUGUGACGCCUGCCCGGUGCCGGAAGGUUAAUUGAUGGGGUUAGCGCAAGCGAAGCUCUUGAUCGAAGCCCCGGUAAACGGCGGCCGUAACUAUAACGGUCCUAAGGUAGCGAAAUUCCUUGUCGGGUAAGUUCCGACCUGCACGAAUGGCGUAAUGAUGGCCAGGCUGUCUCCACCCGAGACUCAGUGAAAUUGAACUCGCUGUGAAGAUGCAGUGUACCCGCGGCAAGACGGAAAGACCCCGUGAACCUUUACUAUAGCUUGACACUGAACAUUGAGCCUUGAUGUGUAGGAUAGGUGGGAGGCUUUGAAGUGUGGACGCCAGUCUGCAUGGAGCCGACCUUGAAAUACCACCCUUUAAUGUUUGAUGUUCUAACGUUGACCCGUAAUCCGGGUUGCGGACAGUGUCUGGUGGGUAGUUUGACUGGGGCGGUCUCCUCCUAAAGAGUAACGGAGGAGCACGAAGGUUGGCUAAUCCUGGUCGGACAUCAGGAGGUUAGUGCAAUGGCAUAAGCCAGCUUGACUGCGAGCGUGACGGCGCGAGCAGGUGCGAAAGCAGGUCAUAGUGAUCCGGUGGUUCUGAAUGGAAGGGCCAUCGCUCAACGGAUAAAAGGUACUCCGGGGAUAACAGGCUGAUACCGCCCAAGAGUUCAUAUCGACGGCGGUGUUUGGCACCUCGAUGUCGGCUCAUCACAUCCUGGGGCUGAAGUAGGUCCCAAGGGUAUGGCUGUUCGCCAUUUAAAGUGGUACGCGAGCUGGGUUUAGAACGUCGUGAGACAGUUCGGUCCCUAUCUGCCGUGGGCGCUGGAGAACUGAGGGGGGCUGCUCCUAGUACGAGAGGACCGGAGUGGACGCAUCACUGGUGUUCGGGUUGUCAUGCCAAUGGCACUGCCCGGUAGCUAAAUGCGGAAGAGAUAAGUGCUGAAAGCAUCUAAGCACGAAACUUGCCCCGAGAUGAGUUCUCCCUGACCCUUUAAGGGUCCUGAAGGAACGUUGAAGACGACGACGUUGAUAGGCCGGGUGUGUAAGCGCAGCGAUGCGUUGAGCUAACCGGUACUAAUGAACCGUGAGGCUUAACCU
rnacentral:rRNA from 1 species